rnacentral:RNase_P_RNA from 1 species
CAGGCUGGUCGGACGGUCGCGGUCUCGCGUUGCGAGGUCGAGGAAAGUCCGCACUCCAUAGAGCACGGCGUCGGAUAAUACCCGGGGCGGGGCGAUCCCCUACUUUUGUAGGGGGCCAACCUGCCGGACAGGGCCACAGAAAACAGGUAGCCUCGCUCGCAAGAGCGCGGUGAUAGUGAAAAGGUGGUGUAAGAGACCACCGGUGUCCGUAGUAAUACGGGCGGCCUGGUAACCCCCGCCGGGAGCAAGGUCAAGCAGGGACGAAGUGGUCUGCGGACCAUCGGGAAACGUGCUCCUUUCCUUAUGUGCCUUCUGUUUAGAAGGCCAGUCCCGGGUAGGCUGCUUGAGCGGCGUGGUGACACGCUUGCCAGAUAGAUGACCGCCCAGGCGCGGGGAGUAAUCCCCGUUGCCGGACAGAAUGCGGCUUAUAGACUGGCCUG